rnacentral:rRNA from 1 species
UCCGUAGGUGAACCUGCGGAAGGAUCAAUACAGAGUGUGGGGGAGAGAUAGGUUGAAAAAGGAAUGAGACAUCUUUCGACAACAUACAACUACAAACAUUUACACAACUCAUAACAAUGGAUCUCUGGGCUCUUGCAUCGAUGAAGAACGCAGCCAAACGCGAAAUGUGUUAUGACAUGCAAUCUUUGAGAAUCAUGAAAUCUUUGAACGCACCUUGUACCCGAGACAACCGUCUUGGGUGUGUUUGUUUGAGCAACGCAACGACCUCGUCGCUUUACGGAGUGGAUGGAUAUGAGAGCGAGCAAGGAGAUUCCUUGCACUCUUCAAAUGGAUAGGGUUAGGGUGAGGUGUGGGCUAGGGAGCAUGUCUUGGGAUAAUUCCAACUGGACACGCACACUAGCACCUGAACACCUUGCCUCCCUCCAUUAACUAGUUAAACACGUUCUCAAAUCAAACAGGAUAACCCGCUGAACUUAA